rnacentral:rRNA from 1 species
UGGGGAAUAUUGCACAAUGGGGGAAACCCUGAUGCAGCGACGCCGCGUGAGUGAAGAAGUAUUUCGGUAUGUAAAGCUCUAUCAGCAGGGAAGAUAAUGACGGUACCUGACUAAGAAGCCCCGGCUAACUACGUGCCAGCAGCCGCGGUAAUACGUAGGGGGCAAGCGUUAUCCGGAUUUACUGGGUGUAAAGGGUGCGUAGGUGGCAAGGCAAGUCAGAUGUGAAAGCCCGGGGCUCAACCCCGGUACUGCAUUUGAAACUGUCUAGCUAGAGUGCAGGAGAGGUAAGCGGAAUUCCUAGUGUAGCGGUGAAAUGCGUAGAUAUUAGGAGGAACACCAGUGGCGAAGGCGGCUUACUGGACUGUAACUGACACUGAGGCACGAAAGCGUGGGGAGCAAACAGGA